CCUGGCUCAGGAUGAACGCUAGCUACAGGCUUAACACAUGCAAGUCGAGGGGCAGCACGGGGUAUGGCUUGCCAUUCCCUGGUGGCGACCGGCGCACGGGUGAGUAACGCGUAUCCAACCUGCCCGCAACCGCGGAAUAGCCCGCCGAAAGGCGGAUUAAUGCCGCAUGAGCUCGCGUGGGGGCAUCUGCCCGCGAGCAAAGGUUCACUCCGGUUGCGGAUGGGGAUGCGUCUCGAUUAGAUGGUAGGCGGGGUAACGGCCCACCUAGUCUGCGAUCGGUAGGGGUUCUGAGAGGAAGGUCCCCCACAUUGGAACUGAGACACGGUCCAAACUCCUACGGGAGGCAGCAGUGAGGAAUAUUGGUCAAUGGGCGCAGGCCUGAACCAGCCAAGUAGCGUGCGGGACGACGGCCCUAUGGGUUGUAAACCGCUUUUGCAGGGGAAUAAAGUGAGGCACUUGUGCCUUUUGCAUGUACCCUGAGAAUAAGGACCGGCUAAUUCCGUGCC
rnacentral:rRNA from 1 species